UAAUCUUCAAUCCACGUAGUAUGUUUUGGAACCUGGCUUCAGGCACGAACGCUGGCGGGCGUGGCUUUAACACCAUGCAAGGUCGAACGAUGAACCACUUCGGUGGGGAUUAGUGGCGAACGGGUGAGUAACACGUGGGCAAUUUGCCCUGCACUCUGGGACAAAGCCCUGGAAACGGGGUCUAAUACCGGAUACUGACCUUCACGGGCAUCUGUGAAGGUCGAAAGCUCCGGCGGUGCAGGAUGAGCCCGCGGCCUAUCAGCUUGUUGGUGAGGUAAUGGCUCACCAAGGCGACGACGGGUAGCCGGCCUGAGAGGGCGACCGGCCACACUGGGACUGAGACACGGCCCAGACUCCUACGGGAGGCAGCAGUGGGGAAUAUUGCACAAUGGGCGAAAGCCUGAUGCAGCGACGCCGCGUGAGGGAUGACGGCCUUCGGGUUGUAAACCUCUUUCAGCAGGGAAGAAGCGAAAGUGACGGUACCUGCAGAAGAAGCGCCGGCUAACUACGUGCCAGCAGCCGCGGUAAUACGUAGGGCGCAAGCGUUGUCCGGAAUUAUUGGGCGUAAAGAGCUUGUAGGCGGCUUGUCACGUCGGUUGUGAAAGCCCGGGGCUUAACCCCGGGUUUGCAGUCGAUACGGGCAGGCUAGAGUUCGGUAGGGGAGAUCGGAAUUCCUGGUGUAGCGGUGAAAUGCGCAGAUAUCAGGAGGAACCCCGGUGGGGAAGGGGGAUUUUUGGGCCGAUACUGACGCUGAGGAGCGAAAGCGUGGGGAGCGAACAGGAUUAGAUACCCUUGUAGUUCACGCCGUAAACGGUGGGCACUAGGUGUGGGCAACCUUUCCACGUUGUUCGUGCCGCAUUCUCAACAAGCAUGCUAAGUGCCCCGCCUGGGGGAAGUACGA
rnacentral:rRNA from 1 species